rnacentral:lncRNA from 1 species
CCAGGUUAUAAAUGUGAUAUUAUAAUAUCCUUGGAUAAGUUGUUAAACAAAUGUUUCAGUUGAUUGCUCUGUAUUUUAAAUUUCAGACCUCAUCAAAAUGCUUAUAAAACAAAAUUAUAAAGAAAAUCACCAAUAUAUACUUUGAAGAUGAAAGAGCCUGACUAGCACAAUCUAUGUUGGUUGAUUGCUCCUCAGAAAAUCUUCCACAACUGUGAUUGGAUUUGCAAAUGUCAGAGUUCAAAGUUAAUGGAAAAACUCAUCUUUAAAUAACACUCAAAAUGAUUGGCAUUGUCUUACAGAUUACAAAUGAGUACCUCCUAUUUCUCCUAUGAAUUGGGCAAUGGAUGUUUCUUUGACAGACGAGACCAGAAACAGCUGGGUGAUGAGUUGUUUCACAAAGUGAGUGAAACUCCCAAGGAGGGAGGGGCUAUCGGAUUCUCGAGUCUUCCAAUGGUCAAAUAAUAAAAAAGUCUUUUGUCUAAGGGACAUUUUUUACCUCUCUUCCAAAACUGAAACUAAAAUUGUCAAAUUCAUUUCAUAUUAAGGGUUGACACUCUCACAUAGCUUAGAACUUGGGAAUGAAAGAAAAUAUUAGCUUUCAGUAGUCUUAUUAUUUCCCCACUAUCAGAAUAAGCCUAAUGAAUGGAUUUGAGAAGGCAGAGACAUCACAGUUCCUUAGAAUCUCCCACUCUUUAU